UAGCGGGGGCCGACGCUUCCCUCAGCCGCCGCAGGUCUGAGUCCCAUAAAGGUGCCAGCAACUCUUACCUCUCUCCCCGAGAUCAAGGGAGAGGGCGAGCAGGACAUUUUAACCCGCUGACAUCUUCCCGCGAGCGGAGGAGGGGAGAGAGGGAAAGGGAAGAAGGAAACUGCAUAUUUCUUGUUUGGGGGAAUUAAUGCCUCCACCAUUGCUCUGGGGAAGGGGUUUCACCUGGAGCCCGAGGAGCUCCCGCCCAGCCCGCGGAGGAUGCUCGGGGGUCAGAGGGGGAGAGGGGCUGAGCCGGGCUGGCUCAGCUCCUCGCAGCGGCAGAGGGAGCUCGGCAGAGCUUAAUCGCGAAGAGAGGCAGCAAAAGAGCAGCCCGCAGGAACCGUGGCUGCCGCCUUGCCCCGUGUCUUGGGGCGGGGGUAACCCUCUCCUCCCCGGGCCUGGGACGCGGCAGCCCGGGGGAGGCAACUACGGAAAACUCGCCUUCCUCCCCGUCCCCAGAGGCGUGUGGCGCUGAGCCGAGGUUUGACAUCGCCCGGCUCCCUUUUUCCUGCAACUACGUCCGCAAAUGAAUGCCGCUUCCAGAGUGUAUGUUUUAAUUUGUCACAUCAAGGCAAUAAAAGGGAGCGAUAUAUACUUAAGCCAGUUAACAUUGUAAUAACAGGUUUAAAGGAGCAAUUAAAUGGUAGUGAGUCGCAUGUCUGACUUUCUAUAGGCAUUACCACAUCAAUGGUACCUUUUAGGCUGACUAUAACUUAGCAUGAUUGUCUCAAUUAGUUUAGCUACAUGAUAGUUAUUGUGAACUCUUUGUGAGUAAUCAAUGUUACGCAAGCUUAUGGGAAGGAGGCUUUAAUAGGGGUGAGCCGCAGCUAAAUAACACGGACCUCCUAUUUUAAAGAAACACCUUUCUUUCUCUGUCUCUGCUUCUCGCUUUCUCCCUCUCCUCUUUAUUUCUCUCCUCCAAGCCCCAAGAAAGAAACUGUAAUUUAUAGACUUAUAAAUCUGUUUCCGAGAUCGCUGUAGCUGAACGUAGAUGUACAGGCAAAAAGCAGCUUUGCCGCGGUUGAUCAACGAAAAAGCCCAGCGCGGAUGGCCAGGCACCCCCGCUUCGCCUCUCCUUGGCUUCAGUGGUGCAUGUCGCGGCUGUUCACUGUCACGAUAAAGACGAAUAACCUUGAGGGAUGCUCACCUCACAUGGCGCAUGUGUGCAGAGCUCCUGCGGGCUCCCAGCCCGAGCAGGGAGCGCUGCGGGCACGGACACGCAGAACAGAACCGGGGGUGAAGGCGAGGGGCGGAGGGAGGAACGACUGCAAAGCGGGGUUAAAAACACGAUUUAAUGCGGGGAGAAGGGUCCUGCCCGACCAAAGGGCCGCUUGGUAACUUGUUAAUUCUCCGCUUACAGACUCUCUUGCUAAAUACUGAGCCACGGGUGGUUAAUGCAAAAUAUGGGGGGCUGGAAAUUGUGUGGGAGCUGCUUGAACUGCUUCAAAACAUUAACAAGUAUGUACUGUUUUCUGUCACGGGGAAAAAAAAAAGAGCAAGAGAGCGUGUACCAUUGAAAUUUAAGAUUAAAAAAAUCCAGGGAUAUUUCUGUUGGUGAAGUUAUUCUCAUUAGUCCCAACAAUGUCUCGCCAUUAGGCAAGGCUGGAGUUAGCCUCAGUCGCAAGAUUUCAGAUCUGCAAGGGUUUUUUUUUUUUUUCUUUUUUUUCCCCCCUUUUUUUGCAUGCACAUUACAUUUCUGUCAUGCUUUGCAGAAGAACACGAUAUCCCCAAAGAACCCAAAGAAGAAAAAAAAUACUCUGACAGCAACCAUUAGUUAAGAGUGCAAUGAAUAAACCCCUUGCACAAGAGUAUCAGGACUAAUUAAGAUUCUGUUUAGCAGCCCUGGAUGGAAUGUUAAUGUAGCUUUGACUAACUGGGAAUAAGCAGGGGAAAAAACUGCAUUUUAAGAGGAAUGCUGGGGUGAUAACAUCUCUCACUUCUUCUGUCCAAGGUCUGCCCAAGCCUGUUACAAAGUCAUUAUCUCAAAU